rnacentral:rRNA from 1 species
GACGAACGCUGGCGGCGUGCUUAACACAUGCAAGUCGAACGGAAAGGCCCUGCUUUUGUGGGGUGCUCGAGUGGCGAACGGGUGAGUAACACGUGAGUAACCUGCCCUUGACUUUGGGAUAACUUCAGGAAACUGGGGCUAAUACCGGAUAGGAGCUCCUGCUGCAUGGUGGGGGUUGGAAAGUUUCGGCGGUUGGGGAUGGACUCGCGGCUUAUCAGCUUGUUGGUGGGGUAGUGGCUUACCAAGGCUUUGACGGGUAGCCGGCCUGAGAGGGUGACCGGCCACAUUGGGACUGAGAUACGGCCCAGACUCCUCCGUGAGGCAGCAGUGGGGAAUAUUGCACAAUGGGCGGAAGCCUGAUGCAGCAACGCCGCGUGCGGGAUGACGGCCUUCGGGUUGUAAACCGCUUUCGCCGGUGACGAAGCGUGAGUGACGGUAAUGGGUAAAGAAGCACCGGCUAACUACGUG